GACGAACCGUACGAACGUUAUUCGGAAUCACUGGGCUUAAAGGGUGCGUAGGCGGCGCGACAAGUUGGGUGUGAAAUCCCUCGGCUCAACCGAGGAACUGCGCCCAAAACUGUCGUGCUCGAGGGAGACAGAGGUGAGCGGAACUUAGGGUGGAGCGGUGAAAUGCGUUGAUAUCCUAAGGAACACCGGUGGCGAAAGCGGCUCACUGGGUCUCUUCUGACGCUGAGGCACGAAAGCUAGGGGAGCGAACGGG
rnacentral:rRNA from 1 species